rnacentral:rRNA from 1 species
AUUGAACGCUGGCGGCAGGCCUAACACAUGCAAGUCGAACGAGCGGCGGUCGGGUGUGUAAUGUAUGGGGUUCUGCCCGAUAGAGGGGGAUAACUACUGGAACCGGUAGCUAUUACCGCAUACCAUCGGAUGUGCCCAAAUGGGCUGAGCUAGUAGGUGAGGUAAAGGCUCACCUAGGCGACGAUCCCUAGCUGGGCUGAGAGGAUGACCCGCCACACUGGAACUGAGACACGGUCCAGACUCCUACGGGAGGCAGCAUGGGGGAAUAUUGCACAAUGGGCGCAAGCCUGAUGCAGCGAGGCCGCGUGUAUGAAGAAGGCCUUCGGGUUGUAAAGUACUUUCAGCGGGGAGGCGUUACCCGAAGAAGAAGCACCGGCUAACUCCGUGCCAGCAGCCGCGGUAAUUC